rnacentral:misc_RNA from 1 species
GAAAUGCGAUAAGUAAUGUGAAUUGCAGAAUUCAGUGAAUCAUCGAAUCUUUGAACGCACCUUGCGCUCCUUGGUAUUCCGAGGAGCAUGCCUGUCCGAGCGUCAUUGCAACCCUCAAGCCCGGCUUGUGUGAUGGGUCGCCGUCCCCCGUGGACGGGCCCGAAAGGCAGUGGCGGCGUCGCGGUUAUCCGAUCGCCUGGUGUAUGGGGCUCUGUCACGCACCACGGCCUGGACCGGCGCCCGCCGACUCUCAACUACUUUCUUAGGUUGACCUCGGAUCAGGUAGGGAUACCCGCAUCGAUGAAGAAC